UGAAGUUGGAUGUGAGAGUUUUUGCAGAGGUUUGCUUUGCACUUUACCUGGUAAUUUUUGAAAAUGGGAGCAACCAAAGAAAAUGUUAUGUUUAAAACAAGAAAGAAAACUGACUUAAGACAAAAAUACAUCUGUUAAAGAAAAUAUUCAGAAUAAAUUUUAUGCUUCUGACCUUUUUUUAUUUGGAGAGCUGGCUUCCACCAGUGACCAGGAAGCUGACAUGUGCAGUGAAUGAAUACAUGCUCUGUGAUCUUCACCUGACCAGGGUAGAAUCCCUCAUCAGACCUGAAUUCAAUUGGCAUUCUGGCCUGGUGGAUGCACUUCAUUACAAGCCUUGACUGUGUCGUCUCCUCCAUUUGCCUUAUAGAAGAGACAUGGCUGUCAACACGAGAAUGAAUCUUCUCCAGGAAAUGUCAUUAAAUAAUUAUCUGCGGGAGAGGUGUGAUGAAGACCCUGCAGAAAGCAUCAGUCGUGGGGCUGUAGAAGGGAGCAGGGCUUUCUACAGGGAGACCGUAGUACUUUCUUGUCCCCUUAAAGCUUGGAAUCUUAACAUUAAGAUAUCAUGGGCUUGUGGACCACGUGCCUGGUGAUGGUCCAAACACAUUGUUUUUCAUUAUUAUUCAUUGUAAUUUUUCUCGUUUUCUUUCUGAAAAUGGCCCUGUUCCCUGUGAAAGUGGGAUUCUUCAUCAGUUGACUUUAAUGAGCAAUGCCUUUGUUAUGUCCCCCCUGCUCACUGUCUAUGAGCAUUGUGAGCUGCAGGCCCAACCUGGGAAUGUUUAAUAAAGACAGAUCGUGUCCCACGGUAGAAUGCCUCAUAUGCUCAUAAGUUCAGUUCAGACACACUUCAGUAACAAUGCUGCAUCAUUAUGCUUAAAUCAAACACUUUUGGUUUGUCUGAAAAGAAAGCACGGCUCAUGUCCUUGUUGACUUUGCUGCUCACAAAAUGGGUUUCCUCUUGUGUGCCAGCAACAUGGACUCUGGUGUGUUGCUCUAUAUUUUGUGAGUGGUACAUUGAAAGAUAUCUAGUGGUUUGAUGACCCAGUUGUUAGAAAUCCUCUCCUUUGUUAGUGUCAUUGACAUGAGCCAUGCAGUUCCCCAAAGGAGACUGAUUUAUGAAACCAUAUGGCUGAAAUCUCAAAGAGCUUUUUAGAUCAAAAGGACCUUCAGGAUAAUCACUUACAUGGGUACUCCAAAAGGCUUCUCCAAAGGGUAAAACCCCUGCACACUGUCCAGGAAGUGAAGAUUAAUCAGGCAGUUGUCUUGAUAUCUUGUCAGAUUUUACAUUCCUAAAGAAGAAUGUAACAACAUAUCAAAGGCACUUCUUCACCUGCAUGUUUAGUACUUAGACCAUGAUGUACAUUUUUCCUGACAGGAAAGAAAAAUGAUCACUAGUUUUCUGCCAGCAGUCAGCAA